UAGGGAAUCUUCCGCAAUGGACGAAAGUCUGACGGAGCAACGCCGCGUGAACGAUGAAGGCCUUCGGGUCGUAAAGUUCUGUUGUUAGGGAAGAACAAGUACCAGAGUAACUGCUGGUACCUUGACGGUACCUAACCAGAAAGCCACGGCUAACUACGUGCCAGCAGCCGCGGUAAUACGUAGGUGGCAAGCGUUGUCCGGAAUUAUUGGGCGUAAAGCGCGCGCAGGUGGUUUCUUAAGUCUGAUGUGAAAGCCCACGGCUCAACCGUGGAGGGUCAUUGGAAACUGGGGAACUUGAGUGCAGAAGAGGAAAGUGGAAUUCCAAGUGUAGCGGUGAAAUGCGUAGAGAUUUGGAGGAACACCAGUGGCGAAGGCGACUUUCUGGUCUGUAACUGACACUGAGGUGCGAAAGCGUGGGGAGCGAACAGGAUUAGAUACCCUGGUAGUCCACGCCGUAAACGAUGAGUGCUAAGUGUUAGAGGGUUUCCGCCCUUUAGUGCUGCAGCUAACGCUAA
rnacentral:rRNA from 1 species